AGUGAACGCUGGCGGUAGGCCUAACACAUGCAAGUCGAACGGCAGCACAGUAAGAGCUUGCUCUUACGGGUGGCGAGUGGCGGACGGGUGAGGAAUACAUCGGAAUCUACUUUUUCGUGGGGGAUAACGUAGGGAAACUUACGCUAAUACCGCAUACGACCUACGGGUGAAAGCAGGGGAUCUUCGGACCUUGCGCGAUUGAAUGAGCCGAUGUCGGAUUAGCUUGUUGGCGGGGUAAAGGCCCACCAAGGCGACGAUCCGUAGCUGGUCUGCGAGGAUGAUCAGCCACACUGGAACGGAGACACGGUCCAGACUCCUACGGGAGGCAGCAGUGGGGAAUAUUGGACAAUGGGCGCAAGCCUGAUCCAACCAUACCGCGUGGGUGAAAAAGGCCUUCGGGUUGUAAAGCCCUUUUGUGGGGAAAGAAAAGCAGCAGGUUAAUACCCCGCUGUUCUGACGGUACCCAAAGAAUAAGCACCGGCUAACUUCGUG
rnacentral:rRNA from 1 species